rnacentral:sRNA from 2 species
UACAAAUUUGCUAUGAGUAUCACUGGGGUUGAGAGAAUCCGCAGCCACCCCGCCACGCCUGUUCGUAGCGCUGUUUUGUUUCCCUGAAGUGAGCGAUACAUGAAACUGCAUGGAUGGAAGUUUCGCAGUUUCGCAGUUUCGCAGUUUCGCAGAUUCAAAGUUUUGAUGAUCCAGAUGAAUCACAUGACUCCCUACUUCAACGCCAAGCCUUGUAGCUCCGUUCACGUUCUGCGACUUCGAGAUCUUCCAGGAUUGUUUCUUCACCUAUCAUGACGGCUCCUCAACUCCAAGUCUUUCUCUCCCACACCAAGCUCCAGCUAUGCCACGCGCUGUAAAAGGUGUCCUGAUAGAAUGCGACCCAUCCGUCAAAGCCAUAAUCCUAAAGUACGACCAGGAGCGGCACGAUUACAUCGUCGAGGACCUCGAUGACGAGCGCCAUCUGGUGAUCAAGGAAAGCCAGUUGCCGCAUCUGAAGGCGCGCUUGAGUAACGAGCUGGAUGAGAAGAUCAUGCAACCGGAGGAGUCCGAAUCGGAGUGAUGUUUCCUUUGCAACUGGACGAGGAGAAAAUAAUGAAUUAUGCAUUAGUCGAGCUGGGCAAGUCAUGUUGACUCCGGGCUGUGGGAGGGACCGGGUAUGAGCCUACACGGCGCACUGUGAUUUCCAGACUCCAAGUUUGCUUUCUCAGACACCGAUCAGCCAAGUGUUCACGGGGACUUGGGGGCGGCUCCAUCUUGUAGGAAGAGCAGCUGGCAAGUCCAGGCCGCCUCUGUGUCGCCUGUGUAAACAAGAAGAGAUCAAAAGUUGGUUGGUUGAUGUAUCAGUAAGAAUGACUGCAGGUUUUGGAUGCGUGGGUCGGGAAUAAUACGGGCAUGUGGGAGCGGAUGGGAAAUCAAUGAUAUACACAACCAAAACUGGUGGUUGCCUUUCUGCGGCUAAAUUUCCGUGGGCUGUUGUUCGUUUCCAAUGUGUUCACGGCAUAUUUCCCCACAAAGAUACUUAGCCACACAGUCUGAUAUACCCUUUGGCGCUACGCAGUUCGGCAAAUAGCUCAUCUACAAUAAUAAGAUCCCCUGAAUCAGAAUUAAUCAAUUCAAAAGCAACAUGAUGUCACCUGUUCAGUCAAAGCUAUACAACUGUGCAAAAGAUCAACUAUUAUUAUGUCCAUCUCAUACAUCAUUACCGGGGACAGAGAGCCAACAACAAAGAUUCAAUUUGUGUUGGUUGUUUGUUUUUCAAUAAAAAAAAAACCAGGCAGAUGUGGCAAUUUGCAUUCAAGCAGCGCCAAUGUGAAACUCUCCCCUACAACAAGUGCACCCAAGCUGAACUCGCCAAGGGAGUCCCCCAGCCCUGCCCGCCUGUCUUUCACGAACAUGCUUUCUUCAUAACAUAGAUACCGAUGCAAUUCCCUUCGGAGUCGCGGCACUGGGUGAUAAAUCCAUGGUCCCCCUCCGGGACGGGAUCGCUAAGUUUGGCUCCGCCAUUGGCGAUGAUUGCCUCAGCGGUCUUCUGGUCGUCCUCCACCAUGAAAUACAUCUUAUAGCCGUUGUCGCUCUUGGUGUGCGCGGCGGCCUCGACGCGCUCGAAGCUGCCGCAAAACGCAUUGGGGCUGGAGUCGGAUUUGGGGAAGCUGAACAGGACGAUUUGCUUCUCAUCCAGGUUGGCGGGCUGGGGCAGAAUGUCCCAGUUGAAAACCUUGGUGUAGAAUGAUUUGGCUAGGGCCAUGUCUGUGACGGGGACGUUGACCCAGCAGGGGGCGCCGAAAGGAGGAGGGGUCCAGCUGCUAGCCAUGGUGGAUUAGGGAUGGAGAUGGGGGAUUGUUCUGACGCUGGGGUCGGGGGGGUGUGCAAAGGAUUGAGAAGGGCAGACAGAUUAUAGGACUCUAGUUUGAGAUGAUGGG